AGAGUUUGAUCAUGGCUCAGAGCGAACGCUGGCGGCAGGCCUAACACAUGCAAGUCGAGCGCCCCGCAAGGGGAGCGGCAGACGGGAGAGUAACACGUGGGAACGUGCCCUUCAGUUCGGAACAACCCAGGGAAACUUGGGCUGAUACCGGAUACGUCCGUAAGGAGAAAGAUUUAUCGCUGAAGGAUCGGCCCGCGUCUGAUUAGCUAGUUGGUGGGGUAAUGGCCCACCAAGGCGACGAUCAGUAGCUGGUCUGAGAGGAUGAUCAGCCUCACUGGGACUGAGACACGGCCCAGACUCCUACGGGAGGCAGCAGUGGGGAAUAUUGGACAAUGGGCGCAAGCCUGAUCCAGCCAUGCCGCGUGGGUGAUGAAGGCCUUAGGGUUGUAAAGCCCUUUCGGCGGGGAAGAUAAUGACGGUACCCGCAGAAGAAGCCCCGGCUAACUUCGUGCCAGCAGCCGCGGUAAUACGAAGGGGGCUAGCGUUGCUCGGAAUCACUGGGCGUAAAGCGCACGUAGGCGGCUUCUUAAGUCAGGGGUGAAAUCCUGGAGCUUAACUCCAGAACUGCCUUUGAUACUGAGGAGCUUGAGUCCGGGAGAGGUGAGUGGAACUGCGAGUGUAGAGGUGAAAUUCGUAGAUAUUCGCAAGAACACCAGUGGCGAAGGCGGCUCACUGGCCCGGUACUGACGCUGAGGUGCGAAAGCGUGGGGAGCAAACAGGAUUAGAUACCCCCGUAGUCC
rnacentral:rRNA from 1 species